rnacentral:lncRNA from 1 species
CUUCCUCAAAGUCAAUCCAUUAACCCCCAACUCAUAUAGACACAAAAAGGGCAUAAAUGCCUACAAAAGAUAACGAAACAGGGAUACAAUUUUUAGGGAAAAGGGGAAAUAACAUGAAAGAAGAUAAGUUCCCGCACAGGGGAGAAUAGAAAAGCUAGCUACUGAAGACUUCUUUGUCUUUUUUCGCCUUCUUUCCCUUGUUUACCUCAUGUGCUAUUUGAUACCUAUUGAUGAUAAGGUGACUCCAGCAUAAUUGUGCCUUGCAGUCGUAAGUCAUUUCUCCUAUGCUGUCGAGUUGGGAGGCCAUGCUAUCGUCCAAAUCGAUUAGGCAUUGCCUGGCAUCAUCAGCGUCUUGCCUAUCUCUUUUCAACUCUUC